GGAUGAAUAUUGGACAAUGGCCGCAAGGCUGAUCCAGCCAUGCCGCGUGCAGGAUGACGGCCCUAUGGGUUGUAAACUGCUUUUCUACGGGAAUAAACCUCUUUACGUGUAAAGAGCUGAAGGUACCGUAGGAAUAAGCACCGGCUAACUCCGUGCCAGCAGCCGCGGUAAUACGGAGGGUGCAAGCGUUAUCCGGAUUUAUUGGGUUUAAAGGGUGCGCAGGCGGAACUUUAAGUCAGUGGUGAAAGCC
rnacentral:rRNA from 1 species